rnacentral:rRNA from 1 species
AUGUGUAUGCCGAAGAGGAAGGGGGAUGGGGUUCGAGACCUUCACAACUUUAAUCUUGUUAUGUUAGCAAAGCAGUGUUGGCGGCUUCUCCAGAAUCCUGAUUCUUUGUGUGCCCGAGUUCUAAGUGCAAAGUAUUAUCCAAAUGGUCAUAUUUUAAAAGCCGGACCGAAGAAAGGGUCAUCAUUUACUUGGCAAAGUAUAGGUGCUGGAUUUCAGACUUUUAAAAGAGGUUGUAUAUGGCGAGCUGGCUCAGGAUCACAAAUAAAAAAUUAGGAAGAUCCAUGGAUCCCAUCUAGCGAGACAAGGAGAGUCAUUACACCAAGAGGAGGAACUAUGCUAACAUUGGUAUAGGAUUUGAUUGACCCUUAUACAGGUCAAGAUUUCGAUCCCAUUCAAUCUAUCUUCUCAUUGGUGGAUGUCGCCAGAAUUGUGCAGAUUCCCCUUUGGACUAACAGUGUGGAAGAUUUUCUUGCAUGGAAAUAUACAAGAUCAAGAACUUUCUCGAUUUGGUCAUCGUAUCACGCGGAGUUCAUGUUGGGAAACGUUGCAUGGAAAACAAAAAAAAUCUCUGCACACGCAAGAUCUAUCCAUGGAGAUGCAUAG